GAUGAACGCUGACAGAAUGCUUAACACAUGCAAGUCUACUUGAUCCUUCGGGUGAUGGUGGCGGACGGGUGAGUAACGCGUAAAGAACUUGCCCUGCAGUCUGGGACAACAUUUGGAAACGAAUGCUAAUACCGGAUAUUAUGUGAGUUUCGCAUGAAAUUCAUAUGAAAGCUAUAUGCGCAGCAGGAGAGCUUUGCGUCCUAUUAGCUAGUUGGUGAGGUAACGGCUCACCAAGGCGAUGAUAGGUAGCCGGCCUGAGAGGGUGAACGGCCACAAGGGGACUGAGACACGGCCCUUACUCCUACGGGAGGCAGCAGUGGGGAAUAUUGGACAAUGGACCAAAAGUCUGAUCCAGCAAUUCUGUGUGCACGAUGAAGUUUUUCGGAAUGUAAAGUGCUUUCAGUUGGGACGAAAUAAGUGACGGUACCAACAGAAGAAGCGACGGCUAAAUACGUGCCAGCAGCCGCGGUAAUACGUAUGUCGCAAGCGUUAUCCGGAUUUAUUGGGCGUAAAGCGCGUCUAGGCGGUUUGGUAAGUCUGAUGUGAAAAUGCGGGGCUCAACUCCGUAUUGCGUUGGAAACUGCCAAACUAGAGUACCGGAGAGGUGGGCGGAACUACAAGUGUAGAGGUGAAAUUCGUAGAUAUUUGUAGGAAUGCCGAUGGGGAAGCCAGCCCACUGGACAGAUACUGACGCUAAAGCGCGAAAGGGUGGGUAGCAAACAGG
rnacentral:rRNA from 1 species